rnacentral:rRNA from 1 species
AUUGAACGCUGGCGGCAGGCUUAACACAUGCAAGUCGAGCGGUAGCACAGGGGAGCUUGCUCCCUGGGUGACGAGCGGCGGACGGGUGAGUAAUGUCUGGGAAACUGCCUGAUGGAGGGGGAUAACUACUGGAAACGGUAGCUAAUACCGCAUAACGUCGCAAGACCAAAGAGGGGGACCUUCGGGCCUCUUGCCAUCAGAUGUGCCCAGAUGGGAUUAGCUAGUAGGUGGGGUAAUGGCUCACCUAGGCGACGAUCCCUAGCUGGUCUGAGAGGAUGACCAGCCACACUGGAACUGAGACACGGUCCAGACUCCUACGGGAGGCAGCAGUGGGGAAUAUUGCACAUUGGGCGCAAGCCUGAUGCAGCCAUGCCGCGUGUGUGAAGAAGGCCUUCGGGUUGUAAAGCACUUUCAGCGAGGAGGAAGGUGGUGAGCUUAAUACGCUCAUCAAUUGACGUUACUCGCAGAAGAAGCACCGGCUAACUCCGUG